rnacentral:rRNA from 1 species
UGAGCUUCCCGCAAGGGUUCGGAGACAGGUGCUGCAUGGCUGUCGUCAGCUCGUGUCGUGAGAUGUUGGGUUAAGUCCCGCAACGAGCGCAACCCUCGCCUUUAGUUGCCAUCAUUAAGUUGGGCACUCUAGAGGGACCGCCGGCGGCAAGCCGGAGGAAGGUGGGGAUGACGUCAAGUCCUCAUGGCCCUUACACCCUGGGCUACACACGUGCUACAAUGGCGGUGACAAUGGGCAGCUACUUCGCGAGAAGAUGCUAAUCCCAAAAAACCGUCCCAGUUCAGAUUGUACUCUGCAACUCGGGUACAUGAAGGUGGAAUCGCUAGUAAUCGCAGAACAGCAGGCUGCGGUGAAUACGUUCCCGGGCCUUGUACACACCGCCCGUCACGGCAUGGGAGUUGGUUUUACCCGAAGACGGUGCGCUAACCGCAAGGAGGCAGCCGGCCACGGUAGGAUCAGCGACUGGGCCGAAGUCGUAACAAGGUAGCCGUAGGGGAACC